rnacentral:tRNA from 1 species
GGCGGAGGUGCGCCGCGAGGUCGGGCGGGUCGCGCUCGGCUCGCGGACCGUGUCCGAGGAGGCGCGCCGCGCGGUGAUCGAGUCACGGCUGCCGGCGC